CAGUAGCCGCGGGAAAACGUAGGUGGCAAGCGUUGUCCGGAAUUACUGGGCGUAAAGGGCUCGCAGGCGGUUUCUUAAGUCUGAUGUGAAAGCCCCCGGCUCAACCGGGGAGGGUCAUUGGAAACUGGGAAACUUGAGUGCAGAAGAGGAGAGUGGAAUUCCACGUGUAGCGGUGAAAUGCGUAGAGAUGUGGAGGAACACCAGUGGCGAAGGCGACUCUCUGGUCUGUAACUGACGCUGAGGAGCGAAAGCGUGGGGAGCGAACAGGAUUAGAUACCCCUGUAGUCCCUGUCUCUUAUAA
rnacentral:rRNA from 1 species